UACGUAGGGUGCGAGCGUUAAUCGGAAUUACUGGGCGUAAAGCGUGCGCAGGCGGUUCGUUGUGUCGGUGGUGAAAUCCCCGGGCUUAACCUGGGAAUGGCCAUGGAAACUGGCGAACUGGAGUGCGGCAGAGGGGGGUGGAAUUCCCGGUGUAGCGGUGAAAUGCGCAGAUAUCGGGAGGAACACCAGUAGCGAAGGCGACACUCUGGGCCGGUACUGACGCUGAGGAGCGAAAGCGUGGGGAGCAAACAGG
rnacentral:rRNA from 1 species